rnacentral:rRNA from 1 species
GUGGGGAAUAUUGGACAAUGGGGGGAACCCUGAUCCAGCCAUGCCGCGUGUGUGAAGAAGGCCUUUUGGUUGUAAAGCACUUUAAGCGAGGAGGAGGCUACCGAGAUUAAUACUCUUGGAUAGUGGACGUUACUCGCAGAAUAAGCACCGGCUAACUCUGUGCCAGCAGCCGCGGUAAUACAGAGGGUGCAAGCGUUAAUCGGAUUUACUGGGCGUAAAGCGCGCGUAGGUGGCCAAUUAAGUCAAAUGUGAAAUCCCCGAGCUUAACUUGGGAAUUGCAUUCGAUACUGGUUGGGUAGAGUAUGGGAGAGGAUGGUAGAAUUCCAGGUGUAGCGGUGAAAUGCGUAGAGAUCUGGAGGAAUACCGAUGGCGAAGGCAGCCAUCUGGCCUAAUACUGACACUGAGGUGCGAAAGCAUGGGGAGCAAACAGGAUUAGAAACCCGAGUAGUCC